GGUUGUCUGAAAGAGUUUGGGUGGAGUUAGAAUUCUGAGGUAGUUGUGAGUUAGUGGGUUAGUUAGUGGGAUAAUGGGGGUUGAUUUUUAGUCUGAUAUGAAUCUAUAUUAAUUUUAAGUUUUUGUUUUUAUUUUUCUCUUUUCUCUCUUCCCAAGAAAAUUUUGACGUUAGUUUUCCCUUUCUCUGCAUAAUUCCUGUCAAUUGACAAAUUCCUAUUUCUUUGCUCCCCAUUUUUUAUUGCAAUUUUGUUAUUCAAUCUCGGUAUUCUAUUUCUUUG
rnacentral:lncRNA from 1 species